UCCGUAGGCGGGUAAUUAAGUCAGAGGUGAAAUACCACAGCUUAACUGUGGAACUGCCUUAGAUACUGGUUAUCUUGAGUUUUAGUGAAGUAGAUAGAAUGUGUAGUGUAGCGGUGAAAUGCAUAGAUAUUACACAGAAUACCGAUUGCGAAGGCAGUCUACUAACUAACAACUGACGCUAAUGGACGAAAGCGUGGGGAGCGAACAGGAUUAGAUACCCUGGUAGUCC
rnacentral:rRNA from 1 species